AUUGAACGCUGGCGGCAGGCCUAACACAUGCAAGUCGAGCGGAUGAAGGGAGCUUGCUCCUGGAUUCAGCGGCGGACGGGUGAGUAAUGCCUAGGAAUCUGCCUGGUAGUGGGGGAUAACGUCCGGAAACGGGCGCUAAUACCGCAUACGUCCUGAGGGAGAAAGUGGGGGAUCUUCGGACCUCACGCUAUCAGAUGAGCCUAGGUUGGAUUAGCUAGUUGGCGGGGUAAAGGCCUACCAAGGCGACGAUCCGUAACUGGUCUGAGAGGAUGAUCAGUCACACUGGAACUGAGACACGGUCCAGACUCCUACGGGAGGCAGCAGUGGGGAAUAUUGGACAAUGGGCGAAAGCCUGAUCCAGCCAUGCCGCGUGUGUGAAGAAGGUCUUCGGAUUGUAAAGCACUUUAAGUUGGGAGGAAGGGCAGUAAGUUAAUACCUUGCUGUUUUGACGUUACCAACAGAAUAAGCACCGGCUAACUUCGUG
rnacentral:rRNA from 1 species